rnacentral:sRNA from 1 species
UUGCCCUUCUUGCAAUGCCGCCAUGAU